CAAGGGAGGACUUUAGAAAUAAUCCCGCUCGUUCGAAUUAUUGUUUCUCAAAAUUAUAGGUGAUUGUGCAUUUCAGUGAACUAGGUACACAUGAUUGGACACAGUUGGGGUAUCUACGGAAUUCGAAAUUUUGUGAAAUAACACAAACAGUUGCGCUUCCUUGUGCAUUUACUUCAAGAUAUCGAAGCUAUUUCGAAGUAUGUGGUCGACUUUGUCGAAUGUCCAUCACUGUUUGUACCAUUCUAGAGAGCUGUAUCGUGACUCAUUAUAUCCAGUUGCUAACAAAUUUAUAAAAGGCAAAACAAUUUCAAUUGAACGGCAAUCAAAUGAUUUCUUAUAAAGGAUUAGAGUGCUCUAUACACCAUCCUUCAUCGCUAGAAGGAUGAUGUACAGAAUACUCUAAUGGUCUGGUUCAAGAUACGAUUUAAUCUAGGAGUCGGGAUAGCGCAGUCGGUAUAGCGACUGGCUAUGGGAAGGACGACCAAGGGGUCGAGUUCGAGACCCAGUAGGGUCAAGAAUUUUCAAUUCUUCACGUCGUCCAGACCAGUUCUGGAGCCCACCCAUCCUACUGUCCAAUGGGUUAGGGGGGCUCUUUUCCCUGGGGUAAGGCAGCCGGGGCACGAAGCUAACCAUUCACUCCCAACUAGUGCCGAGGUCAAAAAACG